GACGAACGCUGGCGGCGUGCUUAACACAUGCAAGUCGAACGGAAAGGCCCGGCUUUUGUGGGGUGUUGGAGUGGCGAAAGGGUGAGAAACACGCGUAUAACCUGCGCUUUAUUUCGGGAGAUCUUUAGGAAACCGGGGAUAAUAUCGCAUAUGACCUCCGGUUGCACGGUGGGGGUUGUAAAGUUUCGGCGGUUGUGUACGGACUUGGGGGUUAUCAGCGUGUUGGUGGGGUAGUGGCUUACCAAGGCUCCGACGGGUAGCCGGCCUGGGAAGGUGACCGGCCACAUUGGGACUGAGAUUCGGGCCGGACGCCUACGGGAGGAAUCAGUGGGGAAUAUUGCACAAAGGGCGGAAGCCUGAGGCAGCGAUGCCGGGUGCGGGAUGACGGCCUUCGGGUUAUAAACCGCUUGCGCCUGUGACGAAGCGUGGGUGACGGUAGUGUGUAAAGAAGCACCGGCUAACUACGUG
rnacentral:rRNA from 1 species